ACGGAAGGCAGCAGUGGGGAAUAUUGCACAAUGGGGGAAACCCUGAUGCAGCGACGCCGCGUGAGUGAAGAAGUAUUUCGGUAUGUAAAGCUCUAUCAGCAGGGAAGAGAAUGACGGUACCUGACUAAGAAGCCCCGGCUAACUACGUGCCAGCAGCCGCGGUAAUACGUAGGGGGCAAGCGUUAUCCGGAUUUACUGGGUGUAAAGGGUGCGUAGGCGGCACGGCAAGUCAGAAGUGAAAUCCCAGGGCUCAACCCUGGAACUGCUUUUGAAACUGUCGAGCUAGAGUACAGGAGAGGUAAGCGGAAUUCCUAGUGUAGCGGUGAAAUGCGUAGAUAUUAGGAGGAACACCAGUGGCGAAGGCGGCUUACUGGACGGACACUGACGCUGAGGCGCGAAAGCGUGGGGAGCAAACAGGAUUAGAUACCCUGGUA
rnacentral:rRNA from 1 species